GGGUCAGUAGGUUGGUCGUGCCACCGGUACGUACUGGUCUCACUGAUUCCUCCUUCCUGAAGAACCGUAAUGCCAUUAAUUUGGUGUUGCGGGGAAACAGGACUGUUACUUUGAAAAAAUUAGAGUGUUUAAAGCAAGCUAACGCUUGAAUACAUUAGCAUGGAAUAAUGAAAUAGGACGAUCGAUCCUAUUUUGUUGGCUUCUGGGAUUGACGUA
rnacentral:rRNA from 1 species